rnacentral:lncRNA from 1 species
GUACAUUGGUUGAAGCUUUUUUAUUAUAAGCUUCCCUGUACAAGUAAAUUUGCUAUUUUUGACAUUAUGUACGCACGGCUGAAUGCUGAUGAAUCAAAUGGUGGUGACUCGUGAGUGAUCCUGACAUUUUUUGGCUCAUCUUCAUGAGGUUCGUUUUAUACAAUUUUAGCCCUUCAGUUUCAAGUGACAAAGAUGUAGGAUUAAAUGUACUUAAGAUUGUUGUAAUUGAAGCUCUCAAGCAUUAGUUUAGUUUUGAGUUAUUUCUGAAUAUAUUUUCUAGAGAGUUGUUUUAUCUGUUGAUUCAAUUCUGAUGAGGAUAUCUUUUAUUGUAUAGUCACAGGCUGCUGUUGUGUGUGUUGCUUAUCUUCUAUGAUCGAAUUUGAUUGUCAAUUAAUUUUCUAUACAAUUAAUAGAUAAAAUUGGUGUUUAUAUCUCUUUAAAGAUUUCUUUCUUCCCUAAAUAUUUCUUGUGGAAUAUCAGUAAUAGUGCUUUGUGGAAUUUGCAAGAAACUAAUGAAGCACCUCAAAUGAUGCUAAAUUAUAUAUAUAUGACACUGAUAUUCUGCUUCCAAUUAUCUAUAUCCAAGUUCCAUUUGUUCCCUUUGAUUUUCCUUUCAGUAUCUCCACCAUUUGCUCUUUGUUUGUUAUAAGGUUCUUCUGUGUUAUUUUUGGUUUUCUUCUAUUUACGUUUUACAUAAUGUGAGUUUUGAGCAAAAAGCUAUAUCAUAAUGACUUGUGUUUAUUUAAUUAUUUGUUGUGGUCAUACUGAAAGUCAAUCACUUCAUCUGUCUCUUUUUGUGAUCUGAAGGCCUGAAAAUCACACUAAAGACCGAUGACAUUAAAAGAGAAUUCAUGAAAUUAAAAAUUUAACAUUAAAGGAUAAAAAUUUAGAUGUGCUGUCAUUUAAUUUUGUUUUUAGAAUCUGUUGUAUAAUUCCCUUUCUUAAAUUACCUGAAUUGUUCUGCAAGUGAAGAUUAUUUUUUUUGGUAACAACUGUAAAAUAUUACCAUAACCACCCAAGAACGGAUACAAAUAAAGAGCACCUAAUUCUGAUAAUAGAGAACAGGCCUCCUACCAAACAUAAAACCAAUUACAUAACAAAUGUUGAAUAAAGUGUCUACAAUUUUUUUGCUUUCUUUGAACUACUAAGUGUAAUCUUUCAAUAAUUUCCUUAUUUAUCUGUGUUACUGCCUCCUUCGUAUGUACACGUUUGUCUGUAAACCUCCUCCAAUUCCUGGCACGCCAAGUGUGGUAUAUGAUAUCUCCACAGAUAGCUGCCAUGAUCUCCUUUUUAAUUGCUUCCGGUGAUUACCUUUUAUGUUUUCCAGGACCUUCAUGAUACUAAUAAUCUGCACUGGUAUUUCAGUCCAAUGGUGCAUAACUUGCCACACAGCUAAUGUCCAUUUGCAUUUCUCGAAUAGGUGAACAUUAGUCUCCAUUACUUUCUCAUCACAUAAACAACAUUCAGUGUCAUCAACCUGAAUAUUCAAUCUCAGCUUUCUCUCCUGUGUAAGAUUUCUAUUUCACUAGAGUAUUAUAUUAUUAAAAGAAUUAAUUAUUGAACAUAAAUUUGCUUCAUAGUCAAAGCACACCAGUAAAAAAGAGUUGGUAUCAAUGAAAACAAAAUUAUGACAUGAGAGAUUAGUACACUUGACUUGAACACAAGUUUCAAAAUAAACCAUGAAGAGAAAACAAAUAAAUAAUUAGCCAUCUUUAUAAUUCUAUACACAAAAUGGAGAUGAAAGUGUAGGUCAGAAAGACCACAGAUUACAGAACUAUGAUCACCAGUCAUCUUUCCUUCUCCGUUGGAUGGCAUUUUAGUUCACUUUUCUCCAUUCUUUUUACACACCUUAUCUCAGAAUCUCCCAUCAAAUUUAACUCUGUGUGUGUGGCGUACCUAGAAUCUAACAACAUCUUUUGACUAAAUACCAUCCUAAAUUACCCCUACAUUUAUACAGUGUGCUAUUGGAAGUUACUCACUUUAGGAAACAUGAAGUUCUUAUCUUUAAUCUAUCACUUACUUGGUUGUUUAAGUUAUUUUUAUUUUAUUGCACGGAGAGUUACUUACAUUUUGAAAAAUGUUGUUCUAAGCUUUUAACAAUUAUUUAUUUGGCGUUCACACUUUGUGAGUGCUCUCUUCAAAACGUGGAAAAAAUAUAUCCUAAAUAGCUUCUACGACAAUCGCAGUAAUGCAUCAAACAAUGACACUGUAGUUUAUCUGAAUUACUCACCUAAUCAAUUAAGAUCUUGACACACUUUCUACAGAUCUUUUAAGAUCCUAGAUGAAACAUAAGUAUCUUUAAAGUUAUAGCUCGCUAAUUACUAUUUUUUGCACUCAGUUUUAGAAUUCUUUAGUUGACGAUUGGUGUUUACUUGAUUUUUGAAGGUAUUUCAAAACAUCUCCCUGUUAUGUGUUUCCGGGAUAGCAAAGGUUGGCUACUAAGCUAGGUAUUGUAUCUCCAACACAAUUGAAAUGAUAGAUCAAGUUAGCUCUGCAAUAUUUACUAAAACUGUAAGUUCUUGAAAUCUUUUGGAUAUCUUUCAUCUUAAAUAUCAGUAGAUUUUCUUAAAUAUUUGUUCAAGGUUCUUCAUUCCUCCAACUGGCCGUGGUUUAGUGUUUAUGUGAUUAUACUUGUUGUCAUUGUUACAGUUCCUUACAUAUAUGCUCCGCAUUAUUUUGUUAAAAGUGUAGAUAGGUAAUAUAAUUAUUCUACAUCACUAUAGUGUAAGAGUAAGUAUGCUAACCAAAAGGGCACUGUGUGUAAUUGCAUCAGGGGCGUAAUAAUAAAAAUUUCUAUUAAUUCUAUUGUAUAGAAACAUGAAGAGCUAGGACGACCAAUGGCAUAACCAUAAAUAUACUCAAUAUUGAAGGGUAAUAUGGUCAUUAUACAACACUAAUUUUUUAGCAAUUAACAUGCGCCUCUUCUAUUUUCCUUCUAGAACAUUCUCUCUCUUCCUUCCAUGUUGCAAUUAAGAGAUGACUCAAGAAAAAGAAUUGGUAAAUUGAUCGGAUCUUUCCUAAACCUCCUCUCUCUAGACCUAAUAUGUGAUCUAUCUAUUUCAUAGACUUCUCUUGUGAUGCUACUAAAGCAGGAAUGGGUGGUGUAAAUGGUUUAAUUAUCGGUAUAUAUAAUCGGUUUAUACACAUAGGUAGCUUUAUGAACUUUAAAAAGGAUAUCUAGAAGGAUUGUAACAUGUCAUAUUCUACAAUUCUGAAGAGUAAGCAUGAUGAAUCUUUCUGAUUGAUAAAAAUGGCCUCGAGAGGGAUUGUAACAUGUCAUAUUUUUACAAUUGUGAAGAAUAAGCAUAUGUUGGAAUAUGAAUUUCAUAAAUUGUUGUUUCUUUCUGAUGAAUGUAGUAUAAUUGGUGCAGGUGAUUGACGGUUUAGUUCCAUUAACAGAGAUGUUCAAUUGCGUUAGUAAAACUUGAAAGGGAAUGACAAAGGAGCAUGCAUCGUACAUUAUGCAAUUAGGCAAGUUUGAUGUUGUCCCUCAACACAUUCAAAUCAGCUUGCCAAAAAGGAAGAAGCAGCAGUUGUUUAGUCAGUCAGCUUUCAAAUUUGGAUCCACGAACUUAAAAAUAGGUAUUUUUACUCAAUGAAGGGACUGCUCUUUGACAUCAUCUUGUCUUUUGGUGUUGCAAUUUCAGUUUGAUCUUUUAUCUUAAUUUUAGCCAUUAUUUUAAGAUUCUCUUUACAUUUUCCAACAUGGUUGAAGCGGUUAUAUUUUGACUAGCUUUCACUGCCAUAAAUUUCAUAGAGGCAAGUCAACAUGCCGGUUUUAUACUGAUUUGUUGUGAAUUUCAACCUCUUACUUGUUCUCCUAUGCUUGGUGGUUAAUUUCUUUAAAUUUUUUUACUCAACGGUUAGUCUCCCGUGGUUUCCACUCCAAGUCCACCAAUCCAACGUAAACUUGCCAACAUCGUAUUUCAUGAAACUUGUGUGCACUUACCAAACUACCCUGCCCCUUCGCCCUCAACCAUUAGCUCCCACGCCUAAUAACAAGGACAUCAUAGUAAAAUCACUUUGUUACCGUAAUCGAACAGACCCCAUAGAAUAUAGUUGGACUGGUUAUUUUUUUCUUUAACUUCUUUAAUAAUAAUUAAGAAUCUACGUUAACACUUGACUAAUAGUAUAUGAGUUCCCUCUGUUCUUUUUUCCAUCAUAAAGUUUAAUUUUUCUUUGUUGUUUCUAAAUUAAAACUUGUAUUCUUUUAAUUCCAAUCUUUUAACCUUUUAGGUGAACCAAGAAAAGAAAAAAUGUUGGAUGCAUAAAAGAAUAACAAGUUUUAUUCCCAAUGGUAAGAGUGACAAUUUGUUAGGGUUGGUUUUUUUUUUCCAUAAAUAUUUUUCAGAAUGUAGAAAAUUAUUUUUCUUGUUAAUUUUGCUUAUGUUGUGGGAAUUUUCUGAUAUAACAAGAGUCUACAAUCAGGCAGACGAAAACUCAAAUCGAAAUGAUCAGGAAGUAGAGAUAUGCAAUGUAGAAAUAUUUGAAGAAUGAUAUAACUGGCGUCUUAAAAUAUGGAUUGGAUGUCAACCCCUGCCACAGGGUAAUUUUCUUUUGUUGGAAUUGAUCCAUCUAUAUAUUCUGUUAUUCUAUCACUUAGUUUUAUUUUAUAUGGCCUCUUUCUUUAUACUGAUUUGUUGUGAGUUUUAGUUUUAUUUUAUAUGGCCUGUUUCUUUAUACUGAUUUGUUUGAGUUUCAACCUCUUACGUGUUCUCCUAUUCUUUGGUGGUUAAUUCCAUUAGUUUUUUUGUAUGUGCAUGUUAGUUCGUGCACAUAUCUUUUCUUCUACUUGAUUUUCCUAAAACCAAAUACACGCUAUCACUAAGAAUAAUGGUCUAUUGAGUUCUCUUCCUCUCAAUGCAACUGCAUUGCUUUGGCUAAUUUAUAUGAGCUUAAGGAAAAAGAAAAUGUAGAGUGAAUUUUUUAAAAAGAAAAUGUAGAGUGAUUUUUUUUUCUUUCUUUCUUUUCGGUGAUUACUAAGAAAGGCUAAUGAUCUAAAUUUAUGCAUUCUCUAAGUUGGUCUUUUUCAUAAGCACCAUGCCAAGUCAAAAAGGGCCACAUAAAAUAGGAUAGAUGGAGUAUAAUUUUUUUUUAAAUGUACUUCCUAUCAUAAAUAGUUAUUUUUGUAAUGAAAAAAUUAACAUAAAAUGUAUUCUUGAUAAAAAUAUUAGCCCCCCCCCCCUCCCCCUAAAAUUGAGGGCCCAAGGCAUGUGCUUACUUUUUAUAGCAUAGAGUUUACCAUGUGUUGCAAUUCUCAAGCCUUAAUUAGCUCUUGAAGAAGGUUAGCAACCACAUAUAUCUUCCUUCUCAGAAAUAUUUAUGCACAAAUAUACUUAUAUACGUGCAAGAUGUUUUAACAGUAAAUAUUGAAAUAUAGCGCAAGACUCUUCUCAUAUGAGCCAGACAUGUUUCAAUAUUCUAUGUGCUAAGAGGAUUCUUCCAUGAUUGUGAUUUUGAAUUUUGCAAUGUGAAUGACAGGAAUACUUUCUUGAAUCUAUUUCCUUAGGGCAUUGAGUGAAGGUUGUUCCUUUCAAAUUCACAUAUAACUUGGUAUAUGUUAAUUCUUUGUGGUUAUCUUCAGUAUUUUAUUUUAAAUUGACAUAUAACUUGUAAUAUGCUGGUUCUUUGUGAUUGUCUUCACUAUUUUAUUUUUACUUUUGCUUUAAGUGCUACUAUUUUUAUGAACAGUUGUUAUUUCGGAACUUUUAUUCCUUUCCUUGAGAUAUUAAAGCUGGAGUAUAUAGUUCGUGCUGAGUGAAGGAAAUUUUGCAUCUUAUCAAGACAAUUGCAAACACUCGAGGCAUCAAUGGAUUUAUGAAACGGAAUUUUAUUACUCUACAUGCAGCUCCAUUUAAGGAUACCAACUUCUAUUCUUUUGAAAAAUACAGAGAGCAUCUACUCAAAUUUACUACUAAUGAUUCAAGGCAUCACUAGAUUUUGUAAAAUGAAUUUUGUCAUAUUCUAUGAUUAGCUCUAUGUAAGUCUAUCCACUUCUAUUUUCUUAUGAUAAAUAUUGAAAAGUAUUUAGAAGAUAGUUGUCUGCAAUGUAAA